rnacentral:rRNA from 1 species
ACGGUGAGUAACACGUAUCCAACCUGCCGUCUACUCUUGGCCAGCCUUCUGAAAGGAAGAUUAAUCCAGGAUGGCAUCAUGAGUCCACAUGUUCACAUGAUUAAAGGUAUUCCGGUAGACGAUGGGGAUGCGUUCCAUUAGAUAGUAGGCGGGGUAACGGCCCACCUAGUCUUCGAUGGAUAGGGGUUCUGAGAGGAAGGUCCCCCACAUUGGAACUGAGACACGGUCCAA